rnacentral:RNase_P_RNA from 1 species
UAUCUCGGAUAAUCGCUAUGCACGCAUGUGCAUAGAGGAAAGUCCAUGCUCACACGAUUCUGAGAUGAUCGUAGUGUUCGUGCUUGACGAAGAAAUAAGUCAAGGCAGUACGUUUUAGAACGGCUGACGGCUGUGAACGGUCCUAAGUGCAAUGCAUAUGGAUCCAGUAGCUAUAAAAGUGCCACAGUGACGUAGCUUCUGUAGAAAUGCAGAAGGUGGAACGCGGUAAACCCCUCGAGUGAGCAAUCCAAAUUUGGUAGGAGCACUUUCCAACGGGAAUUCAACCAGCGGAAGGAUACUACAUUGUAGUAUAGACAGAUGAUUAUCACCAAUGUGCGAGUGUAACUAGUACACGCCCCAGCACAGCGGUACAGAACAUGGCUUAUAGAG